rnacentral:rRNA from 1 species
AUUGAACGCUGGCGGCAGGCCUAACACAUGCAAGUCGAGCGGAUGAAGGGAGCUUGCUCCUGGAUUCAGCGGCGGACGGGUGAGUAAUGCCUAGGAAUCUGCCUGGUAGUGGGGGAUAACGUCCGGAAACGGGCGCUAAUACCGCAUACGUCCUGAGGGAGAAAGUGGGGGAGCUUCGGACCUCACGCUAUCAGAUGAGCCUAGGUCGGAUUAGCUAGUUGGUGGGGUAAAGGCCUACCAAGGCGACGAUCCGUAACUGGUCUGAGAGGAUGAUCAGUCACACUGGAACUGAGACACGGUCCAGACUCCUACGGGAGGCAGCAGUGGGGAAUAUUGGACAAUGGGCGAAAGCCUGAUCCAGCCAUGCCGCGUGUGUGAAGAAGGUCUUCGGAUUGUAAAGCACUCUAAGUUGGGAGGAAGGGCAGUAAGUUAAUACCUUGCUGUUGUGACGUUACCAACAGAAGAAGCACCGGCUAACUUCGUG